rnacentral:tRNA from 1 species
GCGGAAUUAGUUUAGUGGCAAAACGUGUGCUUCCCAAGCAUAAAAUACGAGUUCGAUUCUCGUAUUCCGCACCG